rfam:Triticum urartu cultivar G1812 contig599785, whole genome shotgun sequence.
CAUCUACUCCCUCCGUUCGGAAUUACUUGUCUCGAAAAUGGACAUAUCUAGAACUGAAAUACGUCUAGAUACAUCCAUUUCUGCGACAAGUAAUUUCGAACGGAGGGAGUACAUG